UACGGAGGUGGCGAGCGUUGUCCGGAUUUACUGGGCGUAAAGAGCGCGCAGGCGGUCGUUCAAGUCGCGUGUGAAAGCCCCCGGCUCAACUGGGGAGGGUCACGCGAUACUGAUCGACUCGAAGGCAGGAGAGGGAAGUGGAAUUCCCGGUGUAGUGGUGAAAUGCGUAGAUAUCGGGAGGAACACCAGUGGCGAAGGCGACUUCCUGGCCUGUUCUUGACGCUGAGGCGCGAAAGCUAGGGGAGCAAACGGG
rnacentral:rRNA from 1 species